rnacentral:lncRNA from 1 species
GGGUGACAGUUGGGCGCCAUGCGCCGUGCCAGGACUGUUCGCAGCGCUCGCCGGCCGGAGCUGCGCGCGGGGCUCCCCUCCCCCGCUGAGUCCGGGUGGGAGGUGGCUCGGGAAUCCUAGCCGGGCGCGAUCGGCGUGGGCAUCUAGUGGCGCACCACUCGGGCACAGCCUCCGCUUGGGUACUCCUGGGUGUUUGAUAGUGAGCAUGGCCCUUGAGUUUGAUCGUCGGAGUCCUGGUACUUUUAACUUUAAAAAA